rnacentral:rRNA from 1 species
AGAGUUUGAUCAUGGCUCAGAAUGAACGCUGGCGGCAUGCCUAACACAUGCAAGUCGAACGAAGCCUUCGGGCUUAGUGGCGCACGGGUGCGUAACGCGUGGGAAUCUGCCCCUUGGUUCGGAAUAACAGAGAGAAAUUUCUGCUAAUACCGAAUGAUGACGUAAGUCCAAAGAUUUAUCGCCCAGGGAUGAGCCCGCGU